rnacentral:tRNA from 1 species
GGGGCUGUAGCUCAGCUGGGAGAGCAAUUCCCUUGCACGGAAUAGGUCGCAGGUUCGAUCCCUGUCAGCUCCACAA